rnacentral:rRNA from 1 species
UAGGGAAUCUUCCACAAUGGGCGCAAGCCUGAUGGAGCAACACCGCGUGAGUGAAGAAGGGUUUCGGCUCGUAAAACUCUGUUGUUGGAGAAGAACGUGCGUGAGAGUAACUGUUCACGCAGUGACGGUAUCCAACCAGAAAGUCACGGCUAACUACGUGCCAGCAGCCGCGGUAAUACGUAGGUGGCAAGCGUUAUCCGGAUUUAUUGGGCGUAAAGCGAGCGCAGGCGGUUGCUUAGGUCUGAUGUGAAAGCCUUCGGCUUAACCGAAGAAGUGCAUCGGAAACCGGGCGACUUGAGUGCAGAAGAGGACAGUGGAACUCCAUGUGUAGCGGUGGAAUGCGUAGAUAUAUGGAAGAACACCAGUGGCGAAGGCGGCUGUCUGGUCUGCAACUGACGCUGAGGCUCGAAAGCAUGGGUAGCGAACA